UAACCUGCCCAAGAGACUGGGAUAACACCUGGAAACAGAUGCUAAUACCGGAUAACAACACUAGACGCAUGUCUAGAAUUUAAAAGAUGGUUCUGCUAUCACUCUUGGAUGGACCUGCGGUGCAUUAGCUAGUUGGUAAGGCAACGGCUUACCAAGGCAAUGAUGCAUAGCCGAGUUGAGAGACUGAUCGGCCACAUUGGGACUGAGACACGGCCCAAACUCCUACGGGAGGCAGCAGUA
rnacentral:rRNA from 1 species